rnacentral:lncRNA from 1 species
CUUAAAUGGUCUAACAGGAAAUUUUUAAAAUAUUAUAAAUCAGAAGAUGUUAGUUUUGUCUAAAGAUUUGUCUGUAGAGAACAAAGCAUGGCUAACUGCAGAUGGGAAUGAAUUGUCGUGGACCUGAAUAAUGACAGGCAGCGUUUCAGUAGUCAACCAUUUUAAAGACAGGUGUGUGCUAUAUCCAUUCAGAUUCUUUGUUCCUCACUUCUUUUUCUACAUGUCACUUCAUUUUCUUUAUAUAUAAAUAUGGCCUGCACACGUGGGCUUGAGGCAGGGGAAAGAAGAGACAUCCCCCCUUUUAAGGUAAAUGGCUGCUCAAUUUUGGAAUCAUAAAUAAUGCCAAAUAAGAAUACAAGACUCUCUCUCCAUAUAUGUGUACAUAUGUCUGUCUGUCUAAGACUCUCUCUCCAUAUAUGUGUAUAUAUGUCUGUCUGUCUCUGUUUGUGUGCAUGUGAUUUUAUCCUUCAACUCAUCAGCUCAAGACUGCAAAAAUAGCAACUGAAGAAACAUAAAGAAAGUUCAUAAAAGAAAACAAAACAGAAACUGCUGAAGAAGAUUAACAACAUCACAAGUCAGUUCAGGUAAAUGUUAGGGAAAGAGAGAGAGCUAGAAUAGAGAAAUGGUGCAAAUAUACAAAUAUAUAAUGAAAAGGGAAAAUAACUGCCAGUAUGAAAUUGUAAAUUUUCAGGUUAUAA